rnacentral:sRNA from 1 species
UAUUUUUUAUCGCUAUCAGCGCGGUCAUACUGGUAACGUAUUGGUUACCAUCGUAAAUUAUUUGGCAAUCCGACUACUUGCUGGCAGCCAAAUAACUGCAGAAUGUUUGAGCAGCUGGCCUGAGAGCUAGUGCCGGCUGCCCGAGCCCAAUUCCCCCGGAAACCCACUCCGUUGGACGUCCAGCACAGAACACUCUGAAGCUCCAAACGCACCGCACGCACAUCUGGCAACCGACUGUAAACAAACUCGGGAUAUGAGCCGCGCCGGUUGUUGAACUCUUGACACUUGACUGGGAAUAGAUUAUCGCCCGCGGGUUCAAUAGGAAUCGCUGAAUCUUUCGAGUCAGCAGCACUGGGCAUUCAAUCCGAGAAAGCAAACGAAACGCGCCACAUGUACACCUAUAAGAUGGGUCGGGUUCCAGAGCUGGUUAUAUGCUCUUUCAUCGUGGUCAGCCUGCUGGUCAUACACUUCUUC